rnacentral:lncRNA from 1 species
GGCAGCAUCGGCUUGGGAACCGGGGCAACAGGCCCUUCCCGACCUGUGCUAAUGCCCCGUCCUGCACCAGUGGGGACUACCUUUAGUCCCGGUUGGUAACAGCAACCGGGACUAAAAGGCGCGCCAGGGUGUGCCACCUGGCCUCCACUUUUAGUCUCGGUUGUUGCUACCAACCGGAACUAAAGACUUUUUUCUUUUUUCUUUUUCUUUUCAUUUGGUUUUCCAUUUAGAGUUUACAAUUAUGUUAUUGUUAUUUUCGAAUGCGUAUUGUUUGCUGGUAGUUUAUGGAACGCGCACCUAUAAUUUAUAUAAUUUAAAGCAUUACAUAGAAAUAUACUAUAAAACACUGUAUAUAUAUAUAUAUAAAUAAUAUAUAUCUAUAGGUCUAUAAUAUAAUAUUUACCCAUAUGCUUCACGGAUAAAGUAUUUACAACACAAUUUAUCUCCGCCACUCAAGCAUCGUACAAAUGUUCAUCGUUAUUUGGUUUCAUUGGCUCCAGAUGGUUGAAGUAGCACUCGCCGCCGAGAUUCAGGACUUGGUCGUUAAGAAAUCCUGCGAUUGUCUCCUGAAUUCCUUUUAGGCGCACCGCAUCCAACACCUGCUCCUCCAGCCACAUCUCCUUUAAUAGACAUUAAAGAAAAAAGUUAGAGGUAUGAAUAGGAUUUAUUAAAUAGCAACAAAUAAAUGAAAUAAACUUAUCAUAUAUACAUGUUACAUACUUUUAGGUGCUCAAGAUUAGUUCUUUUGGCAUACACCGUCAUAAACUCGCACACAUAGUAGCCACACAAAUUGUUGCCCGGUGUGUGCCGUAGAACCCACUGAAGUAAGAUGGACUUUGAAAGUGCUGCAUUCAACUCCGGACGGUGUUUCUGCACGAACCCAGCCCAAACCCUAGCAAUAAAAUGAUCAUUAUUAAUUAUCCAUUACCAAGUUAAAAGAGCAGAAUUUAAUAUAUAGUGUCACAGAACCGACCAAAUUAUAAGAGUUCAAGUGUAGAAACGAUCGACAAGCAAUCAAGUUUCCAAACUUGAGCCCAUAUAAUUCCGGUAGUCAACUGAAAUCAUGAAGGACUUCAAACCAACUUGCAACAAACCAAGAUCGUAAUAGUUCAACACAACACAGCG